CGAGAGGUUAUUAUUGUUUAACAUCAUGAUGAAAUGUUUGUAUCAUGUAGUUUUUUUCUUAUCAUGGCAAUUCGGUCCACAUCAGUCCUAUUCAUCAGCUGUAAGCUCCUUAGAGAUAUGGCACCAGGAGGCCGACGUUAGAGACUUCCUUUCAGGCACACGAGUACAUUGCAUGAGGAUGAUCCAACAUCCUUGAGACCAGUGGAGCCCGUCAGUUCUGAUGCGGCGGCACCAUUUUCUGAGCGAUCGGCACCUCGGCUAGACAUGGAUACCAUUUAUGCGACUGAUACGCAGACUCUGCUUUCAGCAUCUACGUCCACGAUCAGGUCAGGUUGUGGUGCAGCGAAGAACAUGUCGCUGAAGAAACACAUGGAUAGGACAAAACAGCAGAUUCAGAUCGACAUUCCUCUAGGAUACACCACUCCGCUGAACAUUAGGUGCACCGCAUGGAUGAGGGAGCUCGACAGUAUAUGCCGACAGUAUGCUCCUGUCAUCGCAUUCAACUGGCCGAAGGUGACUCAGUAGCAGCGCAUGGUUCUUUACAUGCGCAUUUUGGCCAUAUAUGAAACAAAUGUUGUGAACCGCAGCAAACUCCCUACGACGCAUUGCGGUGGAUCGAGACUAUUCAUAAAUCAUUGCCAGCAUGAUCCCGAGACUGGUGUAGAGGAGCCGCUUUCAGAUCUUUAUUAGAGAACACACCAAUGGCAAUCGAGGGAGUGGUGCGAGGGUACGAAAGACAAACAUGCACGAAUGGUCGAGCUGAGGGAUGCACCUGUUUCAGAGGGGAGUCAGCACAUGACAGAUUUCAAGAUCACUUCUAAAUGCUUGGCCAACGAGUGGGGGGAUGGGUGAAAGGUCUUGGAAGUGGAUACAUCGCCUCAACAACAUCAUCAUCCAUGGGUACGGCGGCUCAUGCAGAGAUGGAAUGACAGCGUCGAGAGGCCGAGUAUGAUAAGCAGGAGAUGGUUUGACGAAUGCAGAUGAUGGAAAUGGAAAACACACAAUUGAGAGACAAGGUCUCCAGCUUUCAAGUUCAGAUGCAAGCCAUGAUGGAUAGGCAAACGCGGUUCGAGGAAAUGAUGCACUAAUCUCGAUCAGAUGAUGCGGGUGGCUCCUUUGAUUAGAAGAAAGUUUCAUCAGUGUUGCACUUUUUGGAUGCAUCAUCCUUGUGAAAAUUCCAUUGUUUUCGAUGCGACUUCCUUUUGAACGGACCGUCAUUUUGGAUAUGUGCUUCUAAAUGCAUCCUCCUUAU